rnacentral:rRNA from 1 species
GAUGAACGCUGGCGGCGUGCCUAAUACAUGCAAGUCGAACGAAACUUCUUUAUCACCGAGUGCUUGCACUCACCGAUAAAGAGUUGAGCGGCGAACGGGUGAGUAACACGUGGGCAACCUGCCCAAAAGAGGGGGAUAACACUUGGAAACAGGUGCUAAUACCGCAUAACCAUAGUUACCGCAUGGUAACUAUGUAAAAGGUGGCUAUACUACCGCUUUUGGAUGGGCCCGCGGCGCAUUAGCUAGUUGGUAGGGUAAAGGCUUACCAAGGCAAUGAUGCGUAGCCGAAUUGAGAGGUUGAUCGGCCACAUUGGGACUGAGACACGGCCCAAACUCCUACGGGAGGCAGCAGUAGGGAAUCUUCCACAAUGGGCGAAAGCCUGAUGGAGCAACGCCGCGUGGGUGAAGAAGGUCUUCGGAUCGUAAAACCCUGUUGUUAGAGAAGAAAGUGCGUGAGAGUAACUGUUCACGUUUCGACGGUAUCUAACCAGAAAGCCACUGCUAACUACGUG